UUGACCUCGGAUCAGGUAGGAAUACCCGCUGAACUUAAGCAUAUCAAAAAGGCGGAGGAAUGCUUAUUCUAUUAGGGU
rnacentral:rRNA from 1 species